GGCGGGGUUGGCUCUAACGAAUUUGAAUGAGGAGCCUCAGCGCUUUCGGCGCCAUUUUCGAGUGAUGCCUGAUCUCAUCAAUCUAGCGGGAGAGACAGGAUAACCUGUCCGAGAGUAUAGCGCCACUAUGACUCCGCCGGAAAAAUUACUUUAAAAAUCGCCAAAAAUUACUUGGAGCAAAGGGCAGUCGGCGGAGCUUCGCCAAGGCUGGCGCAGUCGGUUUAAUAAUGAUAGAAUGAAGACCACAAUAAAAGAGACCUCUACUUAGCUCAGCAAUUCUUACCUUUCUUACCUAUUUGAUGAAGAUGUCUUUUGAAAGGUGUACUGCAAGGAACAAAAUGUUUGUAAAUUCUCCUUUUACCAAGGUAAAGAUCAAAUUUUAUAAAUUUACUUGUUUGUUUAUACAAGGAAAAAUAACUUCAUAUAUUGAAUAUAUUCAAAAGUUUAAGCAUUUAGUUGUAUUGCCCUGUUAAGUUGGCAUAGCAAAUAAAUGCUUUUCUUUUCCUCAUUUUAUUCUUUGUGUUUCCUAACCUAUAGCACUGUGCUGGGCACAGAAUGGACUUCAGUUAAGUUUUUGAUGUAGAAAUGUUUUAUUAUUCUACUUAAAAUCUCCUUAAAAAUAAUUAUGCAUAUUACAUCAAUGUUAUAAUGUUUAAACAUAGAUUUUUUUACAUGCAUUCUUUUUUUCCUGAAAGAAAAUAUUUUUUAUAUUCUUUAGGCGCGAAUGUGUGUUUAAAAAAAAUAAAACCUUGGAGUAAAGAAAAAAAAAAAAAAAA
rnacentral:lncRNA from 1 species